rnacentral:rRNA from 1 species
GUGGGGAAUAUUGGGCAAUGGGGGAAACCCUGACCCAGCAACGCCGCGUGAAGGAAGAAGGCUUUCGGGUUGUAAACUUCUUUUACCAGGGAAAAACACAAUGAUGGUACCUGGAGAAAAAGCUACGGCUAACUACGUGCCAGCAGCCGCGGUAAUACGUAGGUGGCAAGCGUUGUCCGGAAUUACUGGGUGUAAAGGGCGUGUAGGCGGAACUACAAGUCAGGGGUGAAAACUAUGGGCUUAACCCAUAGCCUGCCUUUGAAACUGUAGUCCUUGAGUGCUGGAGAGGCAAUUGGAAUUCCUAGUGUAGCGGUGAAAUGCGUAGAUAUUAGGAGGAACACCAGUGGCGAAGGCGAAUUGCUGGACAGUAACUGACGCUGAGGCGCGAAAGCGUGGGGAGCAAACAGGAUUAGAAACCCGUGUAGUCC